CCUACGGUGGCAGCAGUGGGGAAUAUUGGACAAUGGGCGAAAGCCUGAUCCAGCCAUGCCGCGUGUGUGAAGAAGGCCUUCGGGUUGUAAAGCACUUUCAGUGGGGAAGAAAGCCUUGGGGCUAAUACCCUCGAGGAAGGACAUCACCCACAGAAGAAGCACCGGCUAACUCCGUGCCAGCAGCCGCGGUAAUACGGAGGGUGCGAGCGUUAAUCGGAAUUACUGGGCGUAAAGCGCGCGUAGGCGGUCUGAUAAGCCGGUUGUGAAAGCCCCGGGCUCAACCUGGGAACGGCAUCCGGAACUGUCAGGCUAGAGUGCAGGAGAGGAAGGUAGAAUUCCCGGUGUAGCGGUGAAAUGCGUAGAGAUCGGGAGGAAUACCAGUGGCGAAGGCGGCCUUCUGGACUGACACUGACGCUGAGGUGCGAAAGCGUGGGUAGCAUACAGGAUUAGAUACCCGUGUAGUC
rnacentral:rRNA from 1 species